CCCUUGGUAGCUCAGUUGGUAGAGCGGUAGACUGUAAUUGGAUAAUAUAUAAUCUCGCAGCACCCAUCUAUAGGUCGCUGGUUCGACUCCGGCUCGAGGGA
rnacentral:tRNA from 1 species